GUUUAAGCAAAAAUAUCUUCAGUAACAAAUGAUGUUUCGGUAUCCAUACAAGUAUCAGGUGGACACUGAAGUUGUUCAUAGUUUAUUUGUCGAGAAGCUUCAUAUACAGCAAUACCAACACUUACUGAUAAAUUCAAGCACCUAACAUAUGUUUCAACCAUGGGAAUCCGUAGGGUUCCUCCUCCAAGAGAUUCACUCUUGCAAUCAAGAAGGGCUUCAGGAGGUAACCCUUUAGUUUCUGACCCAAAUACAAGCCAAUCGCCCUUUUUGUAGGAGAAGUCGGAAUGUGUAGCUAUUCCUCUCUUUGUAAAUGCCAACAGCCUCUUUUCCCCAGCCUGUCCCAUGAAGUACUCCCUGAAUUCAUCCCAGGACCGAUGCACUUUGACAACAACAUAUGGCCAAUAAUCAAGUCCAGCGCGCUUCAACUUUGUAUUAUCAAUUGGAAAUCCUAAUGGCUCAACUAGGUGCAGUCCAACAGCUGAUGCUGCACAAGUUCUUGCUAUGCUUCCAGUGUUUCCAGGUAUCUGAGGAGAAACUAACACAACUUGCAGGAGUUUAUUCUGAGCUGCUACACCUCCAGCUCCAUUAAGCAUAGUGCUAGCAUCACUUCUUACACAUAGAGAGCGGAGUGGAGAUAAACGUGAAGAGGAAGAUAAGAGAGGGAAAUGGAGAUUGUGCACCACUUGGGGUAACAGAAGUGGACGGAAAAUUGAAGCUUUUGCCCGGAAAUGGAGAGGUGAAACUACGGUGUUGAGGGUUUUCAACCCAGCUCGCUCCAUUCCGGCAACACUCUCCGGCGACUCCAAAUGCCAGUGUAUGUUAUCUCUCACACCAUUAUCA
rnacentral:misc_RNA from 1 species